rnacentral:lncRNA from 1 species
UCCAUUUCAUUAUUUCUGAACUCAUUUUGAUCAAAAUACUUUUCCAUAUUAACCCAUUCAAUACCUUCCACAACUUGAGUUUCUUUUUUCUUGGUCUUUGCAUUUUCGACCUUUGGUUUGCACUCUGCUUCCAACUUGGACUUUGUAUAUGAUGUUUCUUUAGCAGUUUUUGUGACUUGAACCUUUUUGGCAACCUUCUUCCUUGUAAAAGUUCUGACAACAGCAGGAUUAGAUGAUGUGACGUCCAAUUGAC